AACGAACGCUGGCGGCAUGCCUAACACAUGCAAGUCGAACGAGACCUUCGGGUCUAGUGGCGCACGGGUGCGUAACGCGUGGGAACCUGCCCUUAGGUUCGGAAUAACUCCCCGAAAGGGGUGCUAAUACCGGAUAAUGUCCUCGGACCAAAGAUUUAUCGCCUUUGGAUGGGCCCGCGUUGGAUUAGCUAGUUGGUAGGGUAAAAGCCUACCAAGGCGACGAUCCAUAGCUGGUCUGAGAGGAUGAUCAGCCACACUGGGACUGAGACACGGCCCAGACUCCUACGGGAGGCAGCAGUGGGGAAUAUUGGACAAUGGGCGAAAGCCUGAUCCAGCAAUGCCGCGUGAGUGAUGAAGGCCUUAGGGUUGUAAAGCUCUUUUACCCGGGAUGAUAAUGACAGUACCGGGAGAAUAAGCACCGGCUAACUCCGUG
rnacentral:rRNA from 1 species